rnacentral:rRNA from 1 species
UACGUAGGGGGCUAGCGUUGUCCGGAAUCAUUGGGCGUAAAGCGCGCGUAGGCGGCCCGGUAAGUCCGUUGUGAAAGUCAAAGGCUCAACCUUUGAAAGCCGAUGGAUACUGCCGGGCUAGAGUCCGGAAGAGGCGAGUGGAAUUCCUGGUGUAGCGGUGGAAUGCGCAGAUAUCAGGAGGAACACCGAUAGCGAAGGCAGCUCGCUGGGACGGUACUGACGCUGAGGCGCGAAAGUGUGGGGAGCGAACAGG